rnacentral:lncRNA from 1 species
AGGCUCCAGACAGGUGUGCAUGCCUCUGAGAAGCCCCAAGGCACAGUGGCCAGGGUUCACAUCUGCUGGGUCAUCAUAUCCAUCUGCACCAAGCCACAUUCUAAAGAACAUACGAUUAAGGACCCGCCUAGAACCAAGUUCCAUUUCCCUAGCUGCUGGAAGAUCUACAUCUCAAAGAGGCGGGGCUUCACUAAGUUUAAUGUAGAUGAAUUUGAAGACGAGGCGGCUGAGAAGUGGUUUGUUCCAGCAAGCUAUGGAGUCAAAGAUGUCCUCAACUGCAGCCUCUUGGAGAAGUGGUGGGCCCUGCAUAAC